AACGAACGCUGGCGGCAUGCCUAACACAUGCAAGUCGAACGAGACCUUCGGGUCUAGUGGCGCACGGGUGCGUAACGCGUGGGAAUCUGCCCUUGGGUUCGGAAUAACAGUUAGAAAUGACUGCUAAUACCGGAUGAUGACUUCGGUCCAAAGAUUUAUCGCCCAGGGAUGAGCCCGCGUAGGAUUAGCUUGUUGGUGAGGUAAAAGCUCACCAAGGCGACGAUCCUUAGCUGGUCUGAGAGGAUGAUCAGCCACACUGGGACUGAGACACGGCCCAGACUCCUACGGGAGGCAGCAGUGGGGAAUAUUGGACAAUGGGCGAAAGCCUGAUCCAGCAAUGCCGCGUGAGUGAUGAAGGCCUUAGGGUUGUAAAGCUCUUUUACCCGGGAUGAUAAUGACAGUACCGGGAGAAUAAGCCCCGGCUAACUCCGUGCCAGCCGCCGCCGUAA
rnacentral:rRNA from 1 species